UGUCAUGAAAACGGGUGCGGGUUCGUCCACUGGGAGGAUAAUGCAUCUGGGUGGAGCCUGGAGAGCAGCGGAAUACAACGGCGCUGUGCUUAGCUGGACACUUUUACAGGACAUGAUCCAACCGAGUGUGCGGUGUGUGUGUGUGUGUGUGUGUGUGUGUGUGUGUGUGUGUGUGUACUGGGGCCAAGUCAUUAUUCAGUCUGUCCACUUUCCUCUUUGAUGCCAUGCCACUUCACAAAAGCAGUUGGGCCACAGUCAUCUAUUUUUUUUUCCUUUUCUUUUCCUCCUUGUUAUCAUGAUACAAUCUUCCUUUUUCAAUCUUAUCAUUUUCAUCAGUUCUUGGAAAAGGCAAUGAGCAUAACAAUACAUGUUUGGUAAAAACAGUUCUUUGUGGCUAUAUUUAAUUAUUUGGUUUUUAAAAAAGAAGAAAAAAAAAGAAAACAACAACAACCAAAAACAAACAAGCACCUCCCUCCCCCUGGGGGGAAAAAAAACAACCUUGCCUCUGCUUGAUACCAUAGACAAGAGUCCAAAGGACAUUAGCUGCUCCGUUGCACACAUUGGAGGGAGGGCUUGCUGCGGGCUCUGUCUCCCUAAUAGACUGGCGAUUUUGUAAAAGGUUUUGGAAGGUUUUGUUUAACCAUUUCUGCAUGUGUUUUUAAUGAGCUCAUGAUGAUUCGUAACAAAGGCCAGGUUGUGGGGUUUGCAGCCUUUUCUGGGACCUGAUCCCUUCCUGCUGACCUGCAGAGUAGGCACCUGUGCUCCUUGCCUGGCUCACCUAUGGGAGUCAAGGUGGUGGGGCCAUCUCCGGGCCUGUCUUUCUGCCAGGGAUGAAUCAUGCAGUAGGCAGAGCGGAAGAACUCCCUUUGUUGACAGCUUUCCAUCUGGACUUUGGAUACGGCCGGCCGUUCAUGGUGAGCCCGGGUUAGCUGGAAAGGACUGCUCCAGUCAGCUCCUCCACGAAGGCCGGGGGCAAUGUAAAACACCAGCAAAGGAACGGCCCAGCAUUUCGGCUGCAAAGCAGAGAGGCACCAGGUCCAGGCACCCAGCCUUCCAACUUGAGUCCAGCCCAAAGCCUGCACUCUAAUACAUAUCAUACUUGAUAUUAAAGUGAGAAGAGGGGUAAUUUAUAGGAGCUGCAUGAGAACUGUUUUCUUCUCUGGGCCAGCCUGUAUGGAAUCGCCACCUCUAUUCACCAUCCACAGUGGGACGAGAGGGAGAGAGGAAGCCUUUCCAUUCUUCCAGCAACAGCUCUGAAAAACCACCCGUCCUGGCCAUGCCCGCUGUUCAAAAGAAGGUGGAACAGAGAGCAGGGUGGCUAUCUCUUUGUGUGUGUGAAUCUUGGAGGAAGGAGGGUAGGACGCGCGAUAAUGGGCCUUCGCGCUGAAUUCCCAUCCCAACCUCUCACCUGGGGAGCUGGCAUUGGUCUGCUGCACAUCUUGAGCUGAAACAAAAUUGUCUUAUGUGUACAGCGUCUUUUCCAAAGAGGGAGAGAUGCCCCUGAAAUCCCACUUCUUGACAUUGAGCGGAGGUGCCAUCUCUAAUGAUUAGCGAGACACUGUGGGCUGUUUGUGCCGAUCUCCACCUGCGCUGUGAAAUCCCCAUGAUUUUUCUCACAUUCCCACUCAAGCUGCCGAGCAACUGGGCCCUCUCUCUUCUACGCGUGGCUGUGUCAGUGGGACUUCGGUGCGCCAUCCACCGGGUUGUUUUCUCACGCCUCGCCACGACUAAUGAUGGGGUGUGGGAGGAGGCUGGCAGGUCACCGGAGGGCAGGGUCCCUCCACCCACCACGCACCCCCUUCAGUGGGCUGCCUUUCCUUCCGUUCGGGGUGAAAUCCUCCGCUCUGCCUUCUUAGGUACCCUUUGAAUGUAUCCCCCGGGGCUUCUGGAAGCCUCCCGCAUCUCUGCUGUCGCGUGGUAGGACUGCGGCAGUGUGAGGCUUGCAUGUGCAAAGGGGGUGUGAGGACAGCUGGACUGCAUCCCUGAAAGCUGAGCUCCCGAGGCAUGCCUUUCACAGCCCAGCAGCACCAGCCCCCAGGGUCCUGCAACUUUCUCUAGACAUCCGGAGCUCUGCCCCGGGCAGGACUGACCAGGAACUGGAGAAAGAGGGCUUGGGAGCUCUCUGGAAAGGGUCUUGCUUUUAAACACUGGAAACCUGGAGGGAGGAAGGUGACGACGAGAAAUCUGCCCUCUUGUUCUCUGUUAAGUCGUGUUGCCUUGAACGAGAGACCUGCUCGUUUCAUCUUUAAAAUAAACCUUUUGAGCCA